CCACCUUUGGCAAAGGCUGCACCAUCGCCUGUGCUGGCUGUCGGCGGUGGUUGCAGUGGAGGUAGGGGCCCAGUGUUCACGAGCACCGUGGAGCUAUCUGCCAGGGAGGAACAGACAAACUUGGAGCUACAAGUGAUUGGUGGAGGGAGGACUUGUGUACCGUUGCCAGCACGGGACCACGACCCGAUGUCGUUUGAGUCGCUGCUUGCAGCUCGGCUGCCAAGGCUGAUGAGGGUCUCCCCGGCAACGGCGGUUUCGGAACCUACCCGUGUUCAAAUCAUUUCGCAAGGGGGGACGUCGAGGAGCCGUCAAAGUUGGGCGUGCGGUCUGGAGCCAACUGUCCUGGUGAUGACGCGGAUCCUGUGUCACACGGGCACGUCGGAGACGCCGACGGUGGCGCUCCCACCAACCGAAAUGUUGGAGCAGGAGCAGCAAGCCAUGCAGGAGGUGGUGCCGGCUUCUGAGGAGGCAACCGGCAUGGUCGGGGCGUCGGAUGACGAUAAUUCCGCGGCCUUGGAGGAUUUCAUCAGCAAAGUUACGAAGAGUAUUCCGCCGCCUCUUGUGGACAAGCCGCCUCGUCGCCGUCGAGUUGACCCUGUCCUCGUCGAAGCGCCUCCUCAGCUGCCUUCGUCUGAGGCAUCUGGUCCCCGGCGAAGCCAUUGCCAAGCUUUGGACCCUCUCUCGGCCGUCAAGCCGGCAAAGCGAGGGGCGGUGCUCCUGAUGCGCCGACUCUGUGAGGUUGGUGCACCUCUGCCCUUGGUGGCUUCGGCGGAGCAAGCGGUGGACACUUUCUUCCGCGAUCCUCUGCCGCACCACGUGGAAGCAUUGCAGGACAUGUUUCCGAUGUUGAAGAACAAGAGCAAGAGAUCUCCCUUUAUGGGAUGGAGCAUUGACUGAGGGCUACGCUUGAAGCCAGUUGUUUAGGUUGUGCGGGAUGUGAAUAGUUCACGUGGGAGUUUAUCUUUCGGGUUGUGUUCAGCUGGCUUGCCGGCUUGUGUCCAUCUGGAGUCCGUUCCAUUUGGGUUGUAACCGAACCAAUUUCUACUUCGUCUUAAUACAAUGAUACGCUGCGCGCGUAUUCGAGAAAAAAAACGAAACAAUGUGCUUCCGAUCUGGUCCAGGUAAAUUUAACUGAAAAAUUCCUCUCUCUCUUUGGUGUCUUCUGCAUCUACACUAACCUGUUGUUCUCCGGUUCGAGUGACACUUGGUUCAUCAUUUUUUGAUUGUAACAUUUGACACAGUACUGGCCGGAGGUAUUGCAGGAAGAACCAUCCCCGCCAGCCGCAGGCAUCUGCGCUUGCCAAGCGCUAUCUUCGGAGGAGGGAGAGUUUGCUUUCUUCAAGCCACUCUAAGGAAUCAGCUAAUGUGGCAGAAUUGCAUGCCAAGGCAGCAACCUGGAUAGCGGAUAUUCUUGGCACAACUAAGCAUUCGACUUGCCCAAGACUUGAAUCCAAGGAAGAACCCAGUGGAUGUCACUGCUUCUGAUGAGCACAAUGAUUAUCCAAAAAGGCAACGGACAAGUGGUGCUUUUGCUGAAGCUAGCAUGCUUGUAGGCAAUGUUCUUAAGGCGUCGCAUAGGCGACACCAAGGCGUCAAGGCGCUCAGGGAGGCCAAGACGUCGCCGACGCCCAACCAGAAGAGAGGAAGAGCAAGGGGAAGGAGCGACCCAGAGAUGAAAGGAGGAGCAAAAAGGUUACCAGAACUAGCAGGCGACGACCUCUGCCUUCCUCAUCCUCGACGGCAUCGGUGCCGGCGAGAUCUGGCCCCAAAGAGAAGGUGCAGGCCGCCAGCACCUGGAAUCCUCGGCGGCGGUGCUCUGCUCCGUCUCUGCCUACCUGCCGGCACCCCUUCCUGGAGCGGUGGCGCUGGUGCUCCAUCUAGGGGUGGCUGCGGCAAGGAGGAGGACUGGCGGCGCUGGUGCUCCAUCUGGGAGGAGCGGGCGAGCGGCGGUGCACGACGAUAAAAGGGCAUCCAGAGGAGGUAGGGCGCCACACCUCGCCUCAACGCCUUAAGAACAUUGCUUGUAGGGCACCUCACCUAUGCGCCCUUGGUGCCACCAGUGAUUGGGACCUGAGCGAGGGAUUAUUGCAGCAUGAACUUCGAGUGCUCAGCUGAGACAUCGGAGUGUUGUUAGAUGUCUACUACCAUCAGAUAUUCAGUUGUUUAGUUGCUACUUCUAUGUUGAGUUCAACUUCUGAUUGCUGCCCUAUGUGGUAAAAUUAAAAGAAAAAACAUGACAAGAUUGAUCAGAAGUAACCUAACUAGUUGAUUCAUAGGAGAGAGAUGAUUAUGGAAUUAAAACUAACAUCAAUAGAUGUCAGAUCAGUGGCGGAUCUAGGAAUAGAUAGGGGGCUGAGUUUCUUUU